CAGCAGCCGCGGGAAUACGUAGGGUGCGAGCGUUAAUCGGAAUUACUGGGCGUAAAGCGUGCGCAGGCGGUUCGUUAAGACAGAUGUGAAAUCCCCGGGCUUAACCUGGGAACUGCAUUCGUGACUGGCGAGCUAGAGUAUGGCAGAGGGGGGUAGAAUUCCACGUGAAGCAGUGAAAUGCGUAGAGAUGUGGAGGAAUACCGAUGGCGAAGGCAGCCCCCUGGGCCAAUACUGACGCUCAUGCACGAAAGCGUGGGGAGCAAACAGGAUUAGAUACCCCCGUAGUCCCUGUCUCUUAUAA
rnacentral:rRNA from 1 species